rnacentral:rRNA from 1 species
CUACGGGGCCGCUGCAGUGGGGAAUAUUGGACAAUGGGCGCAAGCCUGAUCCAGCAAUGCCGCGUGAGUGAAGACGGCCUUAGGGUUGUAAAACUCUUUCGCUAGGGAAGAUAAUGACUGUACCUAGUAAAGAAGUCCCGGCUAACUCCGUGCCAGCAGCCGCGGUAAUACGGAGGGGACUAGCGUUGUUCGGAAUUACUGGGCGUAAAGAGUUCGUAGGCGGACUGACAAGUUAGAGGUGAAAUCCCAGGGCUCAACCCUGGAACUGACUUUAAAACUGUCAGUCUAGAGACCGGAAGAGGUUAGGGGAAUACCUAGUGUAGAGGUGAAAUUCGUAGAUAUUAGGUGGAACACCAGUGGCGAAGGCGCCUAACUGGUCCGGUACUGACGCUGAGGAACGAAAGCGUGGGGAGCAAACAGGAUUAGAUACCCUCGUAGUC